rnacentral:misc_RNA from 1 species
GAUGAAGAACGUAGUGAAAUGCGAUAAGUAGUGUGAAUUGCAGAAUUCAGUGAAUCAUCGAAUCUUUGAACGCACAUUGCGCCCCUUGGUAUCCCGAGGGGCAUGCCUGUUCGAGCGUCAUUUCACCACUCAAGCCUGGCUUGGUGUUGGGCGACGUCCUCUUUGGGGACGCGCCUCGAAACGCUCGGCGGCGUGGCACCGGCUUUAAGCGUAGCAGAAUCUUUCGCUUUGGAAGUCGGGGCCCCGUCUGCCGGAAGACAUGCUCGCAAGGUUGACCUCGGAUCAGGCAGGGAUACCCGCUGAACUUAAGCAUAUCAAUAAGCGGAGGA